rnacentral:pre_miRNA from 1 species
GCAUGCUUGGGAAUGGCGGAAGAGCAGACUUGUAUAAAAAUGUCCUCUUGCGCGAUCCCCACGUUUGC